UACGGGGGGGGCAAGCGUUGUUCGGAAUUACUGGGCGUAAAGGGCUCGUAGGCGGCCAACUAAGUCAGACGUGAAAUCCCCAGGCUCAACCUGGGAACUGCGUCUGAUACUGGAUGGCUUGAAUCCGGGAGAGGGAUGUGGAAUUCCAGGUGUAGCGGUGAAAUGCGUAGAUAUCUGGAGGAACACCGGUGGCGAAGGCGGCAUCCUGGACCGGCAUUGACGCUGAGGCGCGAAAGCCAGGGGAGCAAACGGG
rnacentral:rRNA from 1 species